rnacentral:lncRNA from 1 species
AUGAGAUCAUUGACAUUUAGGGAGGUGGCCAUAGAAUUAUCUCUGGAGGAAUGGCAAUGCCUGGACACUGCACAGCAGAAUUUAUAUAGGAAUGUGAUGUUAGGGAACUACAGAAACCUGGUCUUCCUGAGUAUAUUGCUGUCUCUAAGCCAGACCUGAUCACCUGUCUGGAGGAAAAAAAAAAAGAAAAAAAGCCCUGGAAUAUGAAGAGACAUGAAAUGGUAGCCAAACCCCCAGUUUUAUGUUUUUCUUUUGCCCAAGACCUUUGGCCAGAGUAGGACACGGAAGUUUUUUUUCCAAAAAGUUAUACUGAGAAGAUAUGGAAAAUGUGAACAUUAGAAUUUACAGUUAAGAAAAGUUAUAAAAGUGUGGAUGAGUGUAAGGUGCACAAAAAAGGUCAUAAUGGACUUAACCAGUGUUUGACAACUAAUGAGAGCAAAAUAUUUAAAUGUGAUAAAUGUGUGAAAGUUUUUUUAUAAAUUUUCAAAUUCAAAUAGACAUAAGAUAAGACAUACUAGAAAGGAAUCUUUCAAAUGUGUGAAAAGCAUUUAUACUUGAGAAAAAAUUAACAAACAAAAAGAAUGUAAAAAAGCCAUUAAUAUCUGUUCACAUCUUACUAUCAGAGAGUUCAUA